rnacentral:rRNA from 1 species
GACGAACGCUGGCGGCGUGCUUAACACAUGCAAGUCGAACGGAAAGGCCCUGCUUUUGUGGGGUGCUCGAGUGGCGAACGGGUGAGUAACACGUGAGUAACCUGCCCUUGACUUUGGGAUAACUUCAGGAGACUGGGGCUAAUACCGGAUAGGAGCUCCUGCUGCAUGGUGGGGGUUGGAAAGUUUCGGCGGUUGGGGAUGGACUCGCGGCUUAUCAGCUUGUUGGUGGGGUAGUGGCUUACCAAGGCUUUGACGGGUAGCCGGCCUGAGAGGGUGACCGGCCACAUUGGGGCUGAGAUACGGCCCAGACUCCUACGGGAGGCAGCAGUGGGGAAUAUUGCACAAUGGGCGGAAGCCUGAUGCAGCAACGCCGCGUGCGGGAUGACGGCCUUCGGGUUGUAAACCGCUUUCGCCUGUGACGAAGCGUGAGUGACGGUAAUGGGUAAAGAAGCACCGGCUAACUACGUG